ACCACCAACACAUAGGGCCAUGGCCACCCCCUGAUCUCCCACCUUCUUCCCCGCCCGGGGCCCCGCACCCCUACCUUCUUCCUCGCCGGAGCCCCACAACCCACCACCUUCUCCAUGGCCUCCUCCCCCACCGGUGGCCGCGCUCGUCAGGCCCGACCUCGCCGGAACCCCACGGCGAGCCCCUACCCCGACGGGGGCCUACCCUCCUCCAGUGGCUCGGACCACCAUGGCUCCGCCACAAAUCUGAAACAAGACUCCGGCGGGGGACUGCCCCCGCGCUGGCCAGGGUCGUCCUCUUUGUCCAUGGCCAGACGAAGACUAGUCGUGCGCCCCUUCACCGCCAUCGACGGGACUUGGUCAACGGCCAAAGCCAUGGCCACCAAGCGCGUCCGCAACAGCAACAUAAUUGAAGUGCGCCGGGGCACGCGAUGCGGUUCGGUGACGCGUGGUCGUGUAGUUCGCGGCCACCACAGGCCCCCUCACCUCUACCUCCAUGGCCACGUCCUCAACUAGCGGCGCCCUGCCCUCGUCACCGGCCAUGGCGCCGCAGCCACCAGGCUCGAGCGUCUGCUCUUCUCCCUUGACCCUUUGCUAGCCGGCGUCACCCCGGGCCGAUCCAGGCAGUUGGGCGGGGGUGUGGAUGUGCAGGGUAGUGCUCCCCGAGGUGCAGUGCGGCGUGCGUGCGUGCAGUCCAAAAAUCGGAGGCGUGCAGUGUAGUAGAGCACCAGAUGGCAGUGGCCAACAGCCCCUCGAUCCCGUCUAUCUGCCGACGGCAACUACUCACAUGGCGCUGCUCCUUGGACCCGCUCCAUCACCGGCAUCCCGCCGAUACGACGAGCAGCAAUGGAGGACCCCUGCAGAUCCCGUGCUCCUCGUCAACGGCAGCCGCCACCUGUUGUCUAGAUGAAGAAGAAGCGGUUUGCAGUCCACGCGAUGCCGGCGUGCAGUUUGUGUGUGCAGCUUCCAGCCCAACGACGGCCUGAUCCUCUCCAUUUUCGGAGUUAAUUUAUUUCCCCUAAUGUCACCUCACUCCUUGUAGAAAGGUUAUAUAUAGCAACUGAACCUCUUAGUUAGCAAUUUGGUGUUGUCACUAUGGAAUUCGAAUUUGGUGUUUGGUGCUUCCCAUUGAUCCAUUUUUUAUCCUAUAAAAUCCUCAAUGUAUAUGCAAGUACGAGUAGUAUACAAACCAAUACAUAUAUAGAGUGUUUUUGGUGCUUUUAACAUUCUUUAUGUCAGUUCCAUCCUAGUGUCGGUAACAACUAUAUUAUCCUGGCUGCAGCAACAAGUUUUAUCAAACUUGGUGAGGUCCCAGCCACCCACGGCAUGCAAUACGGAUAGUGACGACGUGCAGUUUGCUGUGCGAAUGCUGUCCAGGAUUUGCCAUUGGAGAUUGUCUAAAUCCUAGUGGUGGUGUUCCUUCCCGCCGGUGGUGGUGCUACUGCGAGCUGGAGUGGAGCUCUACCCUGACGCGUGGCGCUACAGUCCCUCUUGGUUGUCCCUCACCGCUAUACUCCUCUCUCAAGUAGAGAGCAUCAGUUCGAUUUGUAAUGCAUGCGUCUAGUUCCAGCGGCCGAGGUAGAAGCAGUUUAGUGGCAGCGUGCUUGCAGUUUGGUGCAUGUUGUCUUACAUUUAGGUUGCAAAAAAAUGAUGCAUAUAAGAUGCGUCCAGUUGCGGUUUAGUUGCUGCGCUGAUGCAGUUUUGCUAGGGUACGAGGUGGUGCUUCGUUGUGUAGUGGAAAAAACAAAGAAAAAGGAAAAGGACAAAAUA